rnacentral:rRNA from 1 species
AACGAACGCUGGCGGCAGGCUUAACACAUGCAAGUCGAGCGCCCCGCAAGGGGAGCAGCAGCCGGGUGAGUAACGCGUGGGAACGUACCUUUUGGUUCGGAACAACUCCGGGAAACUGGAGCUAAUACCGGAUAAGCCCUAACGGGGAAAGAUUUAUCGCCGAAAGAUCGGCCCGCGUCUGAUUAGCUAGUUGGUGAGGUAACGGCUCACCAAGGCGACGAUCAGUAGCUGGUCUGAGAGGAUGAUCAGCCACACUGGGACUGAGACACGGCCCAGACUCCUACGGGAGGCAGCAGUGGGGAAUAUUGGACAAUGGGCGCAAGGCUGAUCCAGCCAUGCCGCGUGAGUGAUGAAGGCCUUAGGGUUGUAAAGCUCUUUUGUCCGGGAAGAUAAUGACUGUACCGGAAGAAUAAGCCCCGGCUAACUUCGUG